UCAGGGGCGCACACAUCCCUCUUUGUAGACUUGGCACAGUCCCUAAAGGAAUGGAGGGACGGUUUAUUUUGUGCAUAAAUGUGGCUGAGAGAGAAAAUGAGAGGAAUGAGCGUGGGGAAGGGCAGAUUUGUAACAGCUAAAAUAAUCUGGUCGCCAUGCCUUCUCUCUGCUUGCAUAGCUUUCAGAAACUUCUUAAUACAAGUACCAAAGUCUGGAAGUUUCCUCGACUAGGAUCGGCCGGCUCCUUCCUGUGCUCUUUUCCUUCCCUGGAGGCAAUUAGGAGAGGACAGAAUAAAAGCCUCAAACGAUGGAAAGAGUUACGAUUCUGUCCUGGUGUCCUGUAUAGAAAACGUGGCCACCCACCCUGCAGCUGUUCACACUGGGAGCGCUGGAGCAUGAACUGAAUCACCGAAGGUCCCCUCUUGAGGCAAAGGCUUGGAGAAAGAGGCGGAUCCCACACAAAGGGAAUACCGAUUUCUGAGAAGUGCUUAAGAUGAACUCUCUGGGAUCCUGGUAAGAACGUCCCCAACCUUCCCCUCCUUUUAGGGUCCAGGUGAUGCACUGUUAGAGUCAUGGUGAUGGAAUCCUAAGCAGGAUCGAGCUUAUGUUAGACACAUCAGCAGGGGGAGAAUUCUGAAAGGGAGUCAAACCUGCAGCGAUUGAUGAACUGGAGCACCACGGCCUUGGGGAACACCUUCCCUUUGCCAAUCUAGAGGGUAAGACUGCCUAUGAGGCAGGCUGGG